CCAGGUGGCGUAGCGCUUAAGUUCCCCACGCUCCAUUUCGGUUGCCUGGGUUUCACCCGUUCGGAUCCCCGGCCUGGACCUCUGCAUCGCUUGUCAAGCUAUGCUGUGUUUUUCCAUCUCUGAGGAAUGGAGCGUAACAAAGAAAGUGCCCAGGCUUUGGAAUCAGGCCCAUUGCUGCCUCCUUCACCCGUGGUGCGGCCUGGAGCCUCCUCACCUGUUAAAUGAGACUGCAUCAAGGAAGCCUGGACGCCUUUGUGCAAGUUGAUGGAUCUAAAACAAGAGCUGGAUAAAUGGCUAGACUGUCAGGCCUCCAACGAUGACAAGUGACUCAAGAUAUCCUCAAAGAGAUUAGAACUGCAU
rnacentral:lncRNA from 1 species